CUGAGAUAAAUUUGCAAGAGCAUAUUCAAGAUCAAAAAGAUGAGACGUGUUGACAUGAGAGUAGGCCUUAGCGUCUGCAAGAGCAGUGGCAUCAUCAGCUGCCUAUUUCUCAGCAGUCAUUAGCUUCUCUACGGGUGUUGUUUUGUCGGUGGAAAUCGGGGAGGCAGUGUCGAUAGAAUCGGAGGAGGUAGCUAAGAGAGAGAGAGUGGAAGUUGUCGGCAUAGAGCAAGAUCCAUCGAGAUACAAAAGAAGUCCAUUAUCUUGAAUGAAAGCCUGAAACGAGAACUCCCAAAUAGCAUAAUUUUUUUCAUUGAAACCAACACCAAAUGAAUC
rnacentral:lncRNA from 1 species